AUUCGUCUUCAGUGAAUCGAUAUUUGAUUGCUUCUCUGCAACGUUCGAGCCUCUUUGUUGUAUAUGUUUGCCGUGGUGAAUUUUGCGAAGGGAAAAGAUUGGUGGUAAGGGGUUUAUAUAAGGUGACAAAACAGUCGGAAUGAUAACGUUUCUUCGGAUGAAAGGAGUAAAGACCAAAAUUGAAUGAUGAUUGGGAUUGAGUGGGUGUUAAAUUCGAAUAUGCAAGGAAGUGGAAGAGCUGGAGUCCAUCUCUGCUUGCG
rnacentral:lncRNA from 1 species